rnacentral:rRNA from 1 species
CAGCGCGGGGCAACCUGGCGGCGAGUGGCGAACGGGUGAGUAAUAUAUCGGAACGUACCCUGGAGUGGGGGAUAACGUAGCGAAAGUUACGCUAAUACCGCAUACGAUCUAAGGAUGAAAGUGGGGGAUGCGCAAGCACCUCAUGCUCCUGGAGCGGCCGAUAUCUGAUUAGCUAGUUGGUGGGGUAAAGGCCUACCAAGGCAUCGAUCAGUAGCUGGUCUGAGAGGACGACCAGCCACACUGGAACUGAGACACGGUCCAGACUCCUACGGGAGGCAGCAGUGGGGAAUUUUGGACAAUGGGCGAAAGCCUGAUCCAGCAAUGCCGCGUGAGUGAAGAAGGCCUUCGGGUUGUAAAGCUCUUUUGUCAGGGAAGAAACGGUGAGGGCUAAUAUCCUUUGCUAAUGACGGUACCUGAAGAAUAAGCACCGGCUAACUACGUGCCAGCAGCCGCGGUAAUACGUAGGGUGCAAGCGUUAAUCGGAAUUACUGGGCGUAAAGCGUGCGCAGGCGGUUUUGUAAGUCUGUCGUGAAAUCCCCGGGCUCAACCUGGGAAUUGCGAUGGAGACUGCAAGGCUAGAAUCUGGCAGAGGGGGGUAGAAUUCCACGUGUAGCAGUGAAAUGCGUAGAGAUGUGGAGGAACACCGAUGGCGAAGGCAGCCCCCUGGGUCAAGAUUGACGCUCAUGCACGAAAGCGUGGGGAGCAAACAGGAUUAGAUAC